rnacentral:rRNA from 1 species
UACGUAGGGUGCAAGCGUUGUCCGGAAUUAUUGGGCGUAAAGAGCUCGUAGGCGGUCUGUUGCGUCGGCUGUGAAAACCCGGGGCUCAACCCCGGGCCUGCAGCCGAUACGGGCAGACUAGAGUUCGGCAGGGGAGACUGGAAUUCCUGGUGUAGCGGUGAAAUGCGCAGAUAUCAGGAAGAACACCUAUGGCGAAGGCAGCUCUCUGGGACGGUACUGACGCUGAGACGCGAAAGCGUGGGGAGCGAACAGG